rnacentral:rRNA from 1 species
GUGCCAGCAGCCGCGGUAAUACCGGCAGCCCGAGUGAUGGCCGAUCUUAUUGGGCCUAAAGCGUCCGUAGCUGGCCGCGCAAGUCCAUCGGGAAAUCCACCCGCCCAACGGGUGGCCGUCCGGUGGAAACUGCACGGCUUGGGACCGGAAGGCGCGACGGGUACGUCCAGGGUAGGAGUGAAAUCCUGUAAUCCUGGACGGACCACCGGUGGCGAAAGCGCCUUCGGAAGACGGAUCCGACAGUGAGGGACGAAAGCUAGGGUCUCGAACCGGAUUAGAUACCCCGGUAGUCC